rnacentral:lncRNA from 1 species
GCAGUUUACUAUUUCCAUAGACUCUAAUGGGAACACUUAGAAGAUAUAGUUUGAAUAGAAAGAAAUGACCUAUGGGACAAGAGUGAUAUAAAGACGUGGUAGAAAAACCUGGAACUUAAAAGGGCAACUAAUUCCCAGAAGUUCUUCCUUGACCCUGUCUUCAUGUGAAAUUUUAAUAUGAGUAAAAUAUAAAAACUAACUAUAAAAUAAAGGUAAAAUAAUAUGUAGAAGAAUAUUUAUAAAUUUUGGUCAAGGGGAAGAUUUUAAGGUAGUAGAUAUGAAACUUGGAAAACACAGUUAUAUUUAACUUGUCUCCCUAUAUACAUAUAAGUGCAUUAUAUAUGUAGUAUUUAGCAUAUAGCUUAUGCAAAAUAAUGAGUUGGGAAACUUUUAUGCAAUUAGAAUACUAUCAGAAGACAUAACAAGUUGCUGUUCCUAAUAUAGAAAUAGCCGUUAAAAGGAAAGGCAAACUAUAAAUU